rnacentral:rRNA from 1 species
GAUUAACGCUGGCGGCGUGCCUAAUGCAUGCAAGUCGAACGCGCCGCCUCUUCGGGGGUGGUGGCGUGGCGGACGGGUGAGGAGCGCGUGGGCAACCUGCCCAGAGGUGGGGGUAGCCCUCGGAAACGGGGGUAAUUCCGCAUGGGGUCGACCUUCUGGUGGGGAGGUUGAGCAAAGGGUCUUCGGACUCGCCUUUGGAGGGGCCUGCGUCCGAUUAGCUAGUUGGGGGGUAACGGCCCACCAAGGCGGUGAUCGGUAGCUGGUCUGAGAGGACGGCCAGCCACACGGGGACUGAGACACGGCCCAGACUCCUACGGGAGCAGCAGUGGGGAAUCUUGCGCAAUGGGCGAAAGCCUGACGCAGCAACGCCGCGUGGGGGAUGAAUGCCCUCGGGUU